GUUGAAACCUCCUCUCCAAUCAUUUGGGCAUCACACAAGUUCUACACAAUCAUUUGCAUUUCCAUCCAUCAAUCUUUCAAGAACCAACCCUAAAUUAAUUUACGUCAUUUUGAAUGAUGUUUGAUGUGUUGUUAGAUGCAUCACGAAAUGGAACUUACAGUCUGGGAAGCCGGUGUCGUCAUGGGUCGUGUCGUUUGUGAAGACAUUUAAUAUUUACUGAUGUUUCUUAACAAAAUGGUGUUGGAUUGGUUAAACGAUAAAUUAUGUUUCCGCUGAACAUAUACUUGUUUUAAUAAGAUAUUUUGAAAUGCACGUUUCACGUU
rnacentral:lncRNA from 1 species